GCCCACGUAGCUCAGUUGGUAGAGCGCAUCCUUGGUAAGGAUGAGGUCGGCAGUUCAAAUCUGCUCGUGGGCUCCA
rnacentral:tRNA from 1 species